rnacentral:lncRNA from 1 species
GAAGACUAUUGCUAAAAAGAUUAUAUACCAAAAUCCAAAAGGCUUGAAGCCUUGAUAUUAUUAUUACAUAUUCAUAAAGAAAAAGAAGCUUCUAAUCAUUAUAGAAAGGAAAACAAUAAGAAGAAAUUAGGAUAGUACGUAGAAAAGAAGAAUGCAAAAGUGAAAUAUAAUCAUCAAAUAAAAGCUAAAGCAUAAAGCUAUACAUGAAAGAUAAGCCAUUUGCUGUAUCUCACUAAAAUUGGAACCAAACCAAACCAACCAACAAAGCCUAAAGGGGGCUCAGUUGCUGCUGGAUGCCACCAUAUGAAAGCUCUGUGCACUGUUCCGUUGUUCCAAUAUGAGAGCUCUGUGCACUGUUCUAGCUCACCUUACAUAAUUUAUCUCAAAACUCACCCCCAUACAAAUCAUGUAAAAAUAUGAAAAUAUACAAAUUUUCAUAUCCAUUCGUCGACCACGACUUUAUAUUAAUAAUACAUCUGUUAGAGAGAUCAACUCCCAGCCUGCGUGUCGACACUGUAUUGAACAAUUGACCAAAGUUAACUUCAUGCUAACCACUUUCCUGUUAACAAUACCAGUUCAAAGAAGAAUCAAACUCAGACGAUACUAAUCUUUGUUCACUUUUACCAAACUCAAAACACAAUGAACUGCAUGAUAAAAGCAAAUCAAAUAACAGUCUCAAUUCCUCCAACAAUAUCAGUUCAAACAAAUGCAUUCAAUUUUUACAACCCCCCUACAACGUACCAAGUAAAUUUUAGGAAGCUGAAUUUCUUUGACCCAAGGACACUAGAUUAAUUAUCAUGCCAACAAUUAAAAAGACAAAAUGAACCAAUUAAAUAUAUCCCCCAACUUGAGACGAACAAGCCAUGUGCUGAUAGCCAAGUCUCAAAGAAUUUGAAGGACCACAACUAAACUUUGUGAAGAAUUGGUGGGGAUCAAAUCAAUCACUAGGCACUGAAAAAUCUUCAUCAGGACCACUUUCAUUAACACAAGAUGGCAACCAUAUAUCAUUAUAUAUCUUGCAACAUUAACACUCAAAAGAGAGGGGGAGGGGGGAAAAUGAGUACAGAGCUGAAUAGCUAGGCUUCUUAGUAAAAACCAGCAACAAAAGAUGAUACUAAAUUCCUGCUGCAGUACUAGUAAGAGAAUAGGACUCGAAGGUCUUCAAAAAUUUAGAAGUCUUCUCUUCAUAAACACCCCAACUCAUUAGGUGAAAAAUUAGGUCCCCCAUUUGACAAAUUAGGUCAAAACUCAAAACCUAUAAUCCAUUUAGUUAUUUCAAAGAGCACUGAAACUAAGGAUAAACUAGGGCAAUAUAUCUCUAGCAGAAACACAUACCUCACACCAAGCAUCAUGUUAAUGCCUCACAAGAGGACCUGCAGAACCCCUAGAAAUGCCUAUUCACUCCUCAAACUACGGAUGGUACUCAAUUUGCGAGGAAUGACUAAAACAUUCUGUAUGUUUGACUUCACUAACACCAUACAAGAACUUGGCCUUCAGGAUUAUACGUUCUACUCGAUUACCUGUUUGAAACUGAACCUUAUGUCAGGUCCUGAAUCUAGAUUUUCAGUUACAGACUAGUGUCAUUCUAUUUCUCAUGAAAGAAAGAAAGAGGAAAAAUUACUUUCACCGAGUACGUAAAAGAUAUACAAGGACUUCAUAGUACACUUGUCUUACCAAAAAAACACAUUUUUUUGUUACAAACACAUAAUUCUGGCUCCAUGCCCGUUCAUGGCAGAAAGGAAAUUUUCGCCAAGCAAUUUGGAGUAUUUGUUAUAUUUAACUCGAGAAGUAGGUUAAAGGAGUGAAACUUCAUCCUAAAAUUCAUAAAAGUACGCUUAACAUAACCAUUUGUUCAGGGGCCUUGCUCUAUCAGAACUCUUCUAAGCAUCCACAACCUACAAAGGUCUUUCAAGUCAUCCACGUCUCCUCUGAAGUCAUCUCAUCAAAAUAAAUAUCAUCUAGUCUCGUGAAAUCAUCCUUAAAAGCUUUAAAAAAAAUCAUUUCACCCUUAAAAGCUUUAAAAAAAAUCUAUAAUCCCCGCGCCCUUCACAUCCACAACCACAACAUAAACAAAUAAGGAGGGGUGAGGGUGAGGGUGAGGGUGAGGGUGAGGGUGAGGUUGAGGGUGAGGGUGAGGGUGAGGGUGAGGGGGAGGGGGAGGGGGAGGGGGGGAGAGAGAGACAGAGAGAAGAAAGUAGACUAAAAGAAGUAACAUAUAUUGUAAAGAAUGGUGAAGUACACAUAAAAUAACACAACGAAUACUAUAAAGAAUGGGACUGUACACAUAAAAUCACACGAGAAAUCUUAUACAGAAGAAAUAAAAAGAAUUUAAAAGAAAAUGAAGAAUACAAUUCCUAACCAAGAAUCGGCCCAAAGAAUCUUACAUGUCAAAAAGAGCAAUUGUUGCAGCAAUAUAGCUUCUACAAAGAAAGAUUGUUUGUUUCCCCAUAAUAAUUUUACAAACAACGAUGAAACUUCAUUUUCAAGCCAUAUUUAUGAUACAAUGCCACCUACGAUUUUUCUUGCAGAUGGUGACCUUAAAAUGAGAUUGAUUUCAUGGUAGGUAAAAAAUCUCGAUCCCCAGCUAACAUGCAAGCAUCAGUCCCUAAUAAUUACCAGGAGACCUGGGUUCCUUUGAGAGGGCCACAAACUCGUCUCUGAUUCAUUUAUGUAUUGAUGCAGGCCAUGCACGUGUCUAUUGUCUAAGUUCUAUCAUGAAACUACCAGUAGAAGCAAUUCAGGAAACUUAGAUAAUUAUAACCACAAAGUGAUAGAUUCAUUUUCGUCGUAAGAGACGAGAUAUCCUUGUAUUUGCUCAACCUCCUCCUCAGACAUUAAGCCCGAUACUAGGAAAAUGCUAGCAAAUAGUUGCAAAAGUUCUUUCCAAGUAACUUUUAAACGUACUUGUAGGGGGUGGAGAGGGAAAGAGAGUGAAAAAUAUUCAAAAGAGAGCAGCUUCCAUAAAGAAGCAAAGAAAAAGAUCCUAUCUCACAACUAAGCAAACAAUAAAUAUCAAUCUCUAAAGAGUCUACCAUUAUACUCAGUUCAAGCUACUCGAGGAACUUCAGCUUUACAUAUGUGCAACACAAUAAGGGUUUCAGAAAAAAGAAGUUUGUCGCAUAGUUUUUGUAUUAGAUAAAACAAAUUUAUCAGCUUUGGUCUUCGUGAUUAGUGAAUUUAGAAUUUCCAACAAUCACCUACAAGGGGGAAAACACUGUAAAAAUUGAAGAAAUCCAUGCUCAAUAUCAGGCUAUUAGCAAAUUCUGAAUCAGAUAUAAGUCAGCACAUAUGAAAUUGACAUAUAUAGGAAGAUUCUAGUAUUUAGCAAUCUAUAUAGGAAGCUUCUGCCAGUAUCCAUUAUGCUUCAUUGAAAAACAUUGUAAAAAUUGAAGAAAUCCAUGCUCCAUAUCAGGCUAUUUGCAAAUUCUGAAUCAGAUAUUAGUCAGCUCUAGGAAGAUUAUCAAUCUAUAUAGGAAUAUUCUGCCAGUAUACAUUAUGCUUCGUUUCAUUAAUGUAUGCCGAUACAUUAUAAUAUAACUAAAGAAAAGGUUAGACUUCACAUUCUGCAGAUACAAAAAACAAUUAAAUAUUACAAUAACAUGAAGCACAAAACUAUGAAUUUGCCUUCUUAAAGGAAUUAAAGUCUCUUACUUUUAAUCAAAUUUAAGUAAAAACAAAUCAGAUCUAACAACCAAAAAGCAGAAGAUAUGCAAUAACAAUUCACAAACAUAUUUUGAAAUUAAAAACAUAUAAGAACAGGGAAAAAAUUGAUUUGGUGAAGUAAAACAGAAAUUACAUCUAUGAGAAAAACAGAACUAGUGACCGACCGACCACCUACGGAUCGAUCGACCGAUGAGAAAGUCAAAAUCAGACGGUGAGAACAGACUAAUUUUAAUCUCUUCCUAAGAAUCCGCAGUCGGGAAUGUAAAGGAUCUGGUAAAAAGUCUAAUACGAAAUUGUCUUGGCAAGCAAAAAUACGACAUAGUCCAGGAGGUAUUGAUGAAUGGGUAGUAUACCCAUAAAUUGGAUAUAUUUAGACUUAAAUUAUUGCAUUCUUAAGUUAUUUAGUAGCAUUUUUAUUGUGUUUAUAUCUUGUUUUGCAGAUUUGGAAGAUGGAGGGGCAAUUAUGGGAAAUUCAAGCAUUUAAUGGCAAUCUGGUAAUUUUAGAGAAGUCCAGCGUCGGGGCGCUGGAAAUUGCACUACCUACAGCGCCGGGGCGCUGAGCCUCGGCUGGCCCUGACUGGAUUAGCGCGUUUGACUUCUGGUUGGACUUGACUUGUCUAUGGGGGGCUAAUGUAAAACCUAAUUGGAUGAGGAUUGGGGGAGGCUAUAAAAAGAAACUAAGUGCUGAAAUAAAGGAGGAAAUUUUUGAUUAUUCUUCGGAGGAUUCAACGAGUUCUUCCAUUGAAGGUUACACAAGAUUACUUGGAGAUUAAGGAUUGGCUACAGAGUUUCUUCUUUUUAUCCUUAUUUUCAAUUUAUAAUUCUUUAAGGAUGAUUUGUCAAUAAUUAAUGGUUCUUAUUUCCGUGAUGAACUAAUUCUUUAAUUAAGAUUUCAAUUGAACUUUUUAUGAUUAUAAAUUAGUUAUUCUCUCAUUCUAAUUAUUUAUGUUGAAGUGGAUUGUUUAUCAUGUUUUGAUUCUAUUGAUUAAUUAUUUGGCCAAUAAUUACCGUGUUACUCUAGAAGGAAUUGGGAAAGGAAUUCUAGGGUUAGAACUAGACAUGAUAACAUGUGACUUAGUUAUUUGCACGGUAAAUAAUUAGGUUUGUGAAUUGAAUGGAAAUAUCUGUUCACCGCAUGUAACAUAUAAGGAAUUGGGAUUGGAAAGAGUUUAAUUCAAUUGUUUUGCAUAGGAAUAUAGCAAGAUUAAUCUGGAUUAAAUAGAAGUCAAUUGAUCACUUGGAAGAGGGCUUUUGGCAUUUGAGAAUUCCUGUUAACAAUUCAGUAGACAUAAUAAUUGGGAUGAUUAGAUAAUUGAUUUAUAGUUCAUAAUUGGGGAUAUUGAAGUCUUAAUAUUUACCUAUCGGAAGUCAUUCACUCAAGUAUUAGCUUAGUUAUUCGCUUAUCUUAGUACAAUAUCUUUAAGUGUUUAAUUUUGAGUUAAUAAUUCAGAAAAUCACAAUUUAUCAUUGUUUGAAUAAAAUUGAAUUGAUAUAGUAUUAGUAGUUGGGAUUUAUUAAUUAGAAUUCCCUGUGGGAACGAUACUCAACUUAUCACUUUAUUACUUGUUGACCGCGUAUACUUGCGUGUUGUGUGUAACUAGAUUUUACUCAACAAGUUUUUGGCGCCGUUGCCGGGGAAUUUUUAUUAAUAUUAAUUUCAUAUUAGUUAUAAUCAAUUCGGUUUUAAUUUGAACGCUACUUAAUCUUUCUUCUUGGAUUGGCAGGAAUUCGUGUAUGCACACUAGAUCGAAAGCUAGAAAGGAACUUCUUACGUAUACAGACAACCUUGAGAAGAAGUUCCAGACAGUGCAGUUGAAUAGUGAGGUUAUACAUUUGGAAGAAGAACUGACAACCCAAGAAAUACUCGUGAACAUGGCAGAGAACGAACAGAAAUCACUUAGGGAUUACGCCCUGCCAAAUGUCACGGAUUUACAGUCAAGUAUUAAGAGACCGGCAAUCAAUGCGAACAGUUUCGAGAUAAAACCGGGAUCAAUUCAGAUGCUACAGAAUACAUGCCAGUUUGGGGGUAAUUCGAUAGACGAUCCUAAUGAACAUAUCUUGAGUUUCUUGGAAGUUUGCGAUACCUUCAAAUUUAACAAUGUAUCGGAAGACGCUAUAAGGUUGAGGAUGUUCCCGUUUACUUUAAAAGAUAAAGCACGAAGCUGGUUACACUCCUUGCCUCCUGGUUCAAUCACCACAUGGGAUGACUUAGCUCAAAAAUUUUUAGCUAAGUUCUUCCCACCAGCGAAGUCGGCAAAACUACGGAACGACAUUCAUACUUUCGCACAACUUGAGUCAGAAUCGUUAUAUGAGGCGUGGGAAAGGUUUAAGGAUAUGCUCCGUAAGUGCCCUCAUCAUGGAAUUCCGCAGUGGAUGCAAUUAGGGAUAUUUUGUGAUGGUUUGCACGCAUCCACGAGGUCUAGUAUUGAUGCAGCAGCGGGAGGAGCGAUUAUGUCCAAAAAUUUUGAUGAGGCGUAUCAAUUGUUAGAAACAAUGGCCACCAACAACUAUCAGUGGCCCAUGACGAGGACCAACCAUCCAAAAGCAUCAGGAAAAUAUGAAGUGGACGCGCUAACAGCAUUAACAGCACAAGUGACUGCAAUAGCUAAGCAUAUAGAAAUAUGGCAUCCACAAGCCACACAGCAGGUAGCGAUGGUUUGUGAGUUGUGUGCUGGGGGUCAUGCUACGGAUCAAUGUGCCAUAAAUUCGGAAUCAGCACAGUUCGUAGGAAAUUAUAAUCGCUCAACUCAACCGUAUCCUACCCAAAAUGCCUAUAAUCCAGGUUGGAAGAAUCAUCCAGGGUUCUCAUGGAGUAACAAUCAAGCUGCAGCUCAACCACCUAGACAACAACACACCUCCGGAUUCCAAAAUCAACCUCAACAACCAGAGAGGGUAUCAAGUUGGGAAGCAGCCUUGGAAAAAUUUAUUAGAGCCUCUGACAAAAAGAACGAGGAACAAGACAAGAAAUUGAAUCAAUUAGAUAUGACGUUGCAAAGCCAUGGGGCAUCGUUAAAGAAUCUGGAAAAUCAAUUGGGACAAAUAGCACAUGCAUUGAAUACCCGUCCACUAGGAACGCUUCCGAGUGAUACAGAAAUAAAUCCGGGCAGAAAUGAGCACUGCAAAGCAGUAAUCUUACGAAGUGGGAAGGAGCUGCAAACAGUUAAGGAUAAGGACAAGGGGGAUAACGCAACAACCGAAACAGAAGAAGUUGUGGAAACCGGGAAAGAUAAAGAGGAAAUAGGAGAGGAAAAUGCACCGGGGUCAUCUACAACAAUGCCACCCAUACCAUAUCCGCAGAGAUUUCAGAAAUCCAAGUUAGAUAAGCAGUUUUUAAGAUUUUUGGAUAUUUUUAAAAAAUUGCAUAUCAACAUCCCAUUCGCCGAAGCUUUAGAACAAAUGCCGAGUUACGCUAAGUUCAUGAAGGAUGUGCUAUCAAAGAAAAGGAAACUGGGGGAUUUUGAAACAGUGGCGCUAACCGAAGAAUGUAGCGCAAUUAUUCAGAACAAGUUACCUCCUAAGUUGAAAGAUCCAGGUAGCUUUUCUAUUCCAUGCGACAUUGGUAAUCAGUUUUCGGGGAAAGCGCUGUGUGAUUUGGGGGCCAGUAUUAAUUUGAUGCCAUUAUCAGUCUACCGUCAAUUCGGGCUCCAAGCACCUAAACCGACAAAUAUCAGUUUACUGUUAGCAGACCGAUCAGUUACAUAUCCACGAGGUAUCGUUGAAGACGUAUUAGUAAGGGUGGAUAAAUUCAUCUUUCCAGCAGACUUCGUUAUCUUGGAUUGUGAAGCAGAUACGGAACUGCCCAUCAUUCUCGGACGACCAUUCUUAGCAACGGGGAGAACGUUAAUCGACGUGCAAAAAGGAGAAUUAACGAUGAGAGUUGACGAUCAACAGGUCACUUUCAAUGUGUUUAAAGCAAUGUCGUAUCCAAAGGAAAAAGGUGAGUGUUUGCGGGUGGAUGUAAUGGAGGAGAUAGUGAAUCACAAGAUUUGCUGUAAUUACUCAGAGGAUCCGAUAGAAUCCAUGAUGGUUAGAACAGACAACGAUAGUGCGGAUGCAGAUAAUGAGCAGGUCAAAUGGCUAGACACACCAUCAUUCUACCGGAAAAAUAAUCAACCAUUCGACACCCUUGAAAGGCCUAAAACGGAAGAAAAAAAGUGCAAACCCUCGAUAGAAGUGCCACCGGUGUUGGAAUUAAAGCCACUCCCCUCUCAUCUUGAAUAUGCUUACUUAGGGAAAGACUCGACUCUACCAGUUAUUGUUUCGACAACGUUAACUGACACCCAAAAAGAAAAAUUGCUACGAGUUCUGCGCGAGUUCAAAACAGCGAUUGGGUGGACUAUAGCGGACAUUCGAGGUAUUAGCCCCUCUUUCUGUAUGCACAAGAUUUUAAUGGAAGAGGGAUCAAAACCAACCAUUGAGAUGCAACGAAGGUUAAAUCCCAUUAUGAAAGAGGUGGUGAAGAAGGAAAUUAUAAAAUGGUUGGAUGCCGGUAUUAUCUACCCAAUCUCAGACAGUUCAUGGGUAAGUCCUGUACAGUGUGUACCGAAAAAAGGGGGCAUAACUGUGGUAAAAAAUGAAGCGCAUGAGCUUAUCCCGACUAGAACUGUUACAGGCUGGAGAGUAUGUAUGGAUUACCGCAAGUUGAAUAAAGCCACACGCAAGGAUCACUUUCCCUUGCCGUUCAUUGAUCAGAUGUUGGACAGGUUAGCGGGACAUCAAUUCUACUGUCUGUUAGAUGGAUAUUCUGGGUACAAUCAAAUUGCCAUAGCACCGGAAGAUCAAGAAAAGACCACGUUCACAUGUCCAUACGGUACGUUUGCAUUCCGGCGUAUGUCCUUUGGUUUAUGUAAUGCGCCGGCGACCUUUCAACGCUGUAUGAUGGCAAUCUUUUCCGAUAUGGUCGAGCAGAAUUUAGAGGUGUUCAUGGAUGAUUUCUCCGUGUUCGGCGAUAGUUUUGACUCGUGUUUGAAUAAUCUGAUCUUGGUGUUAAAAAGAUGUGUGGAGACUAACCUGGUACUUAAUUGGGAAAAAUGUCAUUUUAUGGUACAAGAAGGGGUUAUUCUGGGACAUAAGGUUUCCGCAUCCGGAUUGGAGGUGGAUAGAGCGAAGAUUGAUACAAUUGAGAAACUGCCUCCUCCUUCAUCUGUAAAAGGCAUUCGGAGUUUCUUGGGACAUGCAGGGUUCUAUAGACGCUUUAUUAAAGAUUUUUCAAAAAUCUCGAAACCCCUAUGCUCACUCUUGGAGAAAGAUGUACCGUUUAAGAUGGAUCAUGCAUGCAUCGAGGCAUUUGAGGUAUUAAAGAAGAAAUUGGUCUCUGCACCAGUCAUUGUAGCGCCCGAUUGGUCUUUACCGUUUGAAUUGAUGUGCGACGCCAGUGAUUACGCGGUGGGAGCCGUAUUGGGACAACGUCAUGAUAAGAUUUUUCAUACUAUCUAUUACUCUAGUAAGACAUUGACGGAUGCCCAGCUGAACUACACAACAACCGAAAAGGAAUUACUUGCAGUGGUGUUUGCUUUUGACAAAUUCAGAGCUUAUCUCCUCGGCACUAAGGUAAUUGUCUACACUGAUCAUUCAGCUAUUAAAUAUCUGAUUGAGAAGAAAGAUGCUAAACCACGAUUAAUACGGUGGGUACUGUUGUUACAAGAAUUUGAUCUGGAGAUCCGGGACAGAAAAGGUACAGAAAAUCAAGUGGCGGAUCAUCUGUCUCGGUUGGAAAAUAAAAAGGAACAGAAAGAAGACAACUCAGUGAUUAAUGAAGAAUUUCCGGAUGAGCAACUGUUCCGGGUAACUACCAUAUUGCCUUGGUAUGCUGACUAUGUCAACUAUGUGGUUGCCAAGGUGUUACCGCCGGAUUUGACAUCACAACAACGGAAGAAGUUUCUCCACGAUGCGAAACAAUACUUUUGGGAUGAACCAUUUCUGUUUAAAGCAUGUGCAGAUCAAAUGAUAAGACGUUGUGUACCUCACGAAGAAAUGGAUAGUAUAUUAGGCCACUGUCACUCCUCAGAUUACGGAGGUCAUUAUUCCAGUGAUCGUACAGCAGCCAAAGUACUACAAUCGGGAUUCUUCUGGCCCUCUUUAUUCAAAGAUGCUUAUCUCUUUGUGCUAAAAUGCGAUCGAUGCCAACGCGUAGGUAAUAUCUCCAAGCGCAAUGAAAUGCCACUUAACACAAUUUUAGAGGUGGAACUAUUCGACGUGUGGGGUAUCGACUUUAUGGGACCAUUCCCAUCUUCGCUGAAUAAUCGUUAUAUCUUAUUAGCAGUCGAUUAUGUUUCCAAAUGGGUAGAAGCCGCAGCGUUACCCACGAAUGAUGCCAACGUUGUCACCCGAUUUUUAAAGAAAAACAUUUUUACCAGAUUUGGGACACCAAGGGCUAUAAUAAGUGAUGAGGGAACGCACUUCUGUAACAAGCAGUUCACUAAAUUGCUUGUAAAAUAUGGAGUUCGUCACAAAAUUGCAGCUGCAUAUCACCCACAAACCAAUGGCCAAGCAGAGGUGUCGAAUCGGGAAAUUAAGAGGAUCCUGGAAAAAGUAGUCAAUCCGUCACGAAAAGAUUGGGCGUUGCGUCUUGACGACGCUCUAUGGGCUUAUCGAACAGCGUACAAAAACCCGAUCGGCAUGUCCCCGUACAGAAUGGUCUUUGGAAAGGCGUGUCAUCUUCCGGUCGAGCUAGAACACAGUGCACACUGGGCCAUUCGGAAAUUAAACUUUGAUCUAGAAGCAGCAGGUGAAAAACGGUUACUGCAGUUGAACGAGAUGGAUGAAUUCAGGUUCAACGCCUACGAAAACGCUAAGCUAUACAAGGAGAAAGUCAAAUCUUGGCACGAUAAAAAAAUUCUCGAUAGAACAUUCGCACCGGGCCAUCAAGUACUACUGUUCAACUCACGCUUGCGUCUAUUUCCAGGAAAAUUGAAAUCCAGGUGGUCUGGACCAUUUGUAGUCAUAUCUGUCACUCCACACGGAAACAUUGAGGUUGAGGAACCGAAUUCAAAGCGUACAUUCAAGGUCAACGGUCAACGUCUGAAACACUAUUGGAGCGGACCAAUCGAACGCCAAGCUACGGUCCAGUACCUCUCAGACCCAGUGGACAACUGACCAACACCGCAAAGUCGGGCUGACGACUGUAAACCAAGCGCUUCUUGGGAGGCAACCCAUGCAGUUCCAUAACUUUUUCGUUUUAUUUGAUUUUAUGCCUCUUAGAGUUAAACUUUUCUUAUUUUCACUGUUAUUCUGUAGUAGAGAAGACUCCAAGUUUACUAAACUAAUUCCUACACUGGUCCAGGUAUGCACGUACACAGGUGAAUUCCCAGCGCCCCGGCGCCCACAUCACUAAGGAUCACAGCGCCCCGGCGCUAGGCUCCAGAAAGUGAAAACAAGGCCCAGCGCCCCGGCGCUGGAUUCUAGUUCAAUCACAGCGCCCCGGCGCUAGGCUCCAGAAACUGAAAACAAGGCCCAGCGCCCCGGCGCUGUCUUCCAGUUCAAACCCAGCGCCCCGGCGCUGGGGCAUCCCAAUCGAUUCUGCUGCCCAGCGCCCCGGCGCUCCCUGCAAGUUAUAACCCAGCGCCCCGGCGCUGGGGUCAGGUUAGACCUUGUACUUUAAAACCUUGCCGUGCCCUUCUACCCCAAAUUCCUUCCACACGCCGGCACAGCAGGUCAGUCACCCUCUCUCCAUCUUCAUAGCACAAAGUCAUUAAACUUUGGAUAAUUGUCUUCCACUCAUCCACCACGCAUCAAUCCCUUCCUUUCAUAUUGGUCGUCUGCAUCUUGUGUGCCGAAUUCUACUCCUCCAACUUCUUUAGAAGUAACAAAGGUAUGAUUUGAUGUGUUUUUCAAUUAUUGCGAAUUAAGAUGCUCUUCAUUCGUUAUUCUUGUCAUCUGGAAAUCUAAUGGAGCAUAUAGAUAACGCAUUGAUGUGUGACGUACUCCUACACACGAGAUUCAUGCACGCUACAUGCAUGGCAUGAAUAGACAGGGAAUUAAUAAUGGAUUGAACAAGUUCUCAGUUGCUAUCUAGGUGUUUGACAAAUUGUCUGACUCAAUAAUCCUGUGUAACUUACAUACUCGCCAGUUUCAUGCCUCACCCCCACCUGCGUUCUCACACUACCAGUAUUUUAUACAAUUUCUAUGUACUGCUAGGCGCACAUUUAUCCAACCGUACAUUCUUUUAAAGCUAAACUAUGAAUAUGUUUUAUUUGCAGAAUUCUCGACAUGGCAUCCAAACGUCAUCGCAGCUCAGGGUCCGGGGCCGCUUCAACUUCCCCGCCAAAAUUUGACAGCAGGCGUUUUGUUAGUGUUGCGGCUCAAGAACGCUACAGCCGCAUGGCCACCCGCUCACUAGUCCCCGAACGGGGUCUCCGUCCCGAUCAAAACAAGGAUGGAGACAUAGCAGUGAUGAUUGCUGAGCGUAACUGGUUCGUCCUCACCGAACAGCCUGACAUAGCAGUGAUUGCAGUGGUCAAAGAAUUCUAUGCCAACUUGCCUGAGCAUGACCAUUAUGGGGUGUUUGUCAGAGGUAAGACCGUGGAAUUUGGCGAGGAGGAUAUCAAUGGGUGCUAUCAACUACCCUUAGAGGGCCUUCAUGAUGAAUAUGCUCGCCUAGUGAGUGAUGGGCCGGACUAUGAAAAGAUUAUUCGGGAGCUGUGUCAACCGGGCACUACUUGGUCCAUCCAUGAGCGUGGCAGCAUGACCUUCCCAUUGUCUCACCUCAGUCUAUAUGGAAAGGCAUGGUAUGCCUUCAUAUGCGCGAAAUUGAUGCCCUGCACACAUGUGAGUCACGUCACCAAAGAAAGGGCUGUGCUAUUAUACUCCAUCAUACAAGGCCUACGAAUCGAUGUCGGCCAUCUUAUUCAGCAAUCGAUGCUCCGCGCAUCUCGCGGCGGGACCACAGGAGGGUUACCACAUCCGUCCCUGAUCUGCGUCUUAUGUGCUAAGUUUGGGGUCAAAUGGAAAUCAGACGAGAUGAUUCAAACUCCUAUGCCCGUGUUGGACCACAACUUGAUCCGUCGUUAUAAAGUGUGGUCCGGUGGCGCUAAUCACCCUAGGGGACUGGGUUUCAUUAUCCCCCACGUUACGUCUCCACGAGCCCCACCACCUCAGGCUCCCCCUCCUUACGGCCCCUCGACAGCUGCUCAUCGAGGUGUGGUCCCCGAAGCUGUCCAGCGGGAGAUAGACGGCUGGUUUUACAACAUUGAGUCCCAGAAUGUGCGCUUAUCGGAACGUCAAGACGUGAUUUUCAAGUAUUUAGUUGACCAAUUUGCUGCACAGAAUGCACUGACCAUCCAGACCCAUCCGGGCAUUCCACUUAGCCAUUUCCCUACGGCUCCCGUUCUGCCAGUAUUUCCCCCUUCCGAUCAAGAGAUGAGCGAGGACGAUGAUGCUCCCCCAGAAGAAUAAGAUCGUCAGGGAAGUCCUCUGUUUUAUUUUGACUUAUUUUUCGCAUGCGGACAUUGCUCUAGCUUAGUUUGGGGGUGGUUACGUUUUAUUUUUAACAGUUGUAGUUUGUUAUUAGUUUGUGGAUUGAUUAUUAGUAAAGUUGCAUUUAGGAUUGCAUGUUAAUUCCAGUUUUUGAUAGUGCGUAUAUCUGGGGCCAAUGAUGAAAGUAGAAUUGCAUGAACAAGUCUAGUAAGGAUUGUUGAUUCAGUGAUAUGAUUUUCGUGACUUGAAUUGGAUCUUUAUCUGUUUGACAUUGAUAUUAUAGGAAGGCACUUUGAAAUAAAACGACCAUGUUGGCUAUGAUAGUUUAAAUGGUUAGAUAAUAGAGUUCUAAAGGAGGAUUGCUAGUGAUAUGGAAGAACAAUUUGAAUAACUAGAGGAGACUGAAUUCAUGCAUAAACUCGAGUUUGGGGGAAAACAUUUGGAAUAUAAAAAAAAAAAAAAAAAUGUUGAGUCUUGUGGUGGGUUGAGGGGAACCACUCCCCAUAAACACAAGCGUGAGAUGGAGCGUAAAACGCACUCACCAACCAUCUAUAAAAAAAAAAAAAAAAAAAAAUAAUGAUAAUAUACAGGGUGACUAGUCUUGUUUCGGGGCCUGUGUUACUUGAGCAAGUACGCCCGAAGGGGUAUCUUAAAACCUAGCGCCCUAAGGUCUUAUAUGGUCUGGGAGUCGUUGGUCGAAAGCUCGCUAAGGGGUAACACUGUUAGCCUAAUGGGAUGAGACAUUGCACAGUCAUUUAUGUAGAGCUAAAAAAAAAAGGAAAAAGAAAAGAAAAGCAUAAGUAUUCCAUUUUGACUUUUGAAUUCGGGUAAGUGUUUGAGUUCAGUUGAAACAAGUAUAUUUGAUGAGUUCUCAAGUUCACACUGUAUGAUGCUUACUAAGAAAGUUAUUAUCUUUCAUAUUUUUGUCUUUCAUGGGUUAGCAUGGUCGUGGACACACACGCACAAUAUCAGUAAUAACAGAUUUAGAUCCGUUGAUUGUUGGGAUAUUGUUGAUCUGUUUUUGCAUGAUGAAUUAGCAUGUUUACGUGAUUUUCUGAGGCAUAUGGAUCUACGUGAGCUCUUGAAUUGCUGGAAUUACGAACAUAUAAAUAUAAAUAGUUUGCAUGUGCAUGAUGUUUAGUUUUGUUUUGUGAUCUUAUGUUUUGUCGCAUGAGGACACGCAACGAUUUAAGUUUGGGGGUAUUUGAUGAAUGGGUAGUAUACCCAUAAAUUGGAUAUAUUUAGACUUAAAUUAUUGCAUUCUUAAGUUAUUUAGUAGCAUUUUUAUUGUGUUUAUAUCUUGUUUUGCAGAUUUGGAAGCUGAAGGGACAAUUAUGGAAAAUUCAAGCAUUUAAUGGCAAUCUGGUAAUUUUAGAGAAGUCCAGCGCCGGGGCGCUGGAAAUUGCACUACCUACAGCGUCGGGGCGCUGAGCCUCGGCUGGCCCUGACUGGAUUAGCGCGUUUGACUUCUGGUUGGACUUGACUUGUCUAUGGGGGGGCUAAUGUAAAACCUAAUUGGAUGAGGAUUGGGGGAGGCUAUAAAAAGAAACUAAGUGCUGAAAUAAAGGGGGGAAUUUUUUAUUAUUCUUCGGAGGAUUCAACGAGUUCUUCCAUUGAAGGUUACACAAGAUUACUUGGAGAUUAAGGAUUGGCUACAGAGUUUCUUCUUUUUCUCCUUAUUUUCAAUUUGUAAUUCUUUAAGGAUGAUUUGUCAACAAUUAAUGGUUCUUAUUUCCGUGAUGAACUAAUUCUUUAAUUAAGAUUUCAAUUGAACCUUUUAUGAUUAUAAAUUAGUUAUUCUCUCAUUCUAAUUAUUUAUGUUGAAGUGGAUUGUUUAUCAUGUUUUGAUUCUAUUGAUUAAUUAUUUGGCCAAUAAUUACCGUGUUACUCUAGAAGGAAUUGGGAAAGGAAUUCUAGGGUUAGAACUAGACAUGAUAACAUGUGACUUAGUUAUUUGCACGGUAAAUAAUUAGGUUUGUGAAUUGAAUGGAAAUAUCUGUUCACCGCAUGUAACAUAUAAGGAAUUGGGAUUGGAAAGAGUUUAAUUCAAUUGUUUUGCAUAGGAAUAUAGCAAGAUUAAUCUGGAUUAAAUAGAAGUCAAUUGAUCACUUGGAAGAGGGCUUUUGGCAUUUGAGAAUUCCUGUUAACAAUUCAGUAGACAUAAUAAUUGGGAUGAUUAGAUAAUUGAUUUAUAGUUCAUAAUUGGGGAUAUUGAAGUCUUAAUAUUUACCUAUCGGAAGUCAUUCACUCAAGUAUUAGCUUAGUUAUUCGCUUAUCUUAGUACAAUAUCUUUAAGUGUUUAAUUUUGAGUUAAUAAUUCAGAAAAUCACAAUUUAUCAUUGUUUGAAUAAAAUUGAAUUGAUAUAGUAUUAGUAGUUGGGAUUUAUUAAUUAGAAUUCCCUGUGGGAACGAUACUCAACUUAUCACUUUAUUACUUGUUGACCGCGUAUACUUGCGUGUUGUGUGUAACUAGAUUUUACUCAACAAGUUUUGUAUUUGACUAAAAUAAAUUAUAAAUUAAAAUAAUAUAUAAAUAUUACUAAAAUAAGAAGAAAAACAAUAUUUAUAUUUGGUCAAACUUAUUUAUUUUAAAAUAAUUUACAAGUUAUUUUUUAAUAAAUCAAAAUUUAUUACUUAUCAAAACUAACUUAUAAGUUAAAAAAUAAGUUUCUUUCAACAAUAAAAAAUCAACACCAUAUAUACAUGUAUGUUAGAAUGCAAUCAUGCAUGCAUGUGAUUCCCUAUGAUGGGAACUUUUAUUCCCCAACCCGUGAACUCCCCCUUCUUUAUUUCUCCCGUGAUUCCCCUUUCCUUCCUUCCCUUCUUCUGAGUUUUUUGCCUAUAAAAGGAAAUCCUACUGAAUGAAAUAAGAAGAAAAACUUCUCUAAAGAAUAAUUCUCUGAAGAAUUUCUCAACCCUCUUUUCUCUUGCUUAUUCUCUCUAAAUUUAUGCAGCAAUUAUAAGAGUAUAUUUAUACACUUCGCUAAAAAGAUUCUCAGUCGUUUUCAUAUGGAAAAAGCUCAUCCUUUGACUACCCCGAUGGUUGUUCGAUCUUUAGAAGUUGAUAAAGAUCCAUUUCGACCUCUAGAAAGUGGGGAAGAAGUUCUUGGACCUGAAGUUCCAUACCUAAGUGCAAUAGGUGCUCUUAUGUAUCUUGCAAACUGUACACGACCUGAUAUUACUUUUGCUGUUAACUUGUUAGCAAGAUACAGUUCUUCUCCUACUAAGAGACAUUGGGAUGGGAUUAAACACAUUUUGAGAUACCUUCGUGGAAGUAUUGAUCUUGGGUUAUUUUAUCCAAGAAAUUCAACUUCGCAAUUGGUUGGGUAUGCCGAUGCAGGAUAUUUAUCAGAUCCACACAAUGGAAGGUCACAAACAGGUUAUGUAUUUACAUAUUGUGACACGGCUAUCUCCUGGAAAUCCACAAAGCAAACCAUGACAGCUACAUCUUCAAAUCACUCAGAGAUUCUCGCUAUACAUGAAGCAAGCAGAGAGUGUGUUUGGUUGAGAUCAAUUAUUCAGCAUAUUCAAAAGUCAUGUGGAUUACCAUCAAUCAAAGACAUUCCUACAAUUCUGUAUGAGGAUAACGCUGCAUGCAUUGCUCAACUUAGAGGAGGGUACAUCAAGGGAGAUAGAACAAAGCACAUUUCACCUAAAUUCUUCUUCACACAUGAGCUACAAAAGAAGGGUGAUAUAGAUGUGCAUCAAAUUCGAUCAUGUGAUAAUCUAGCUGACUUAUUCACAAAGUCGCUACCAAAUGCAACGUUUGCAAAACUUCGGAAAAGGAUUGGAAUGUGUCGACUGAAAUAUUUAUGACAACAUCUCAUCAAGAAGUAAUGAAAUCCUUUUGAGGGGAAGACUGUACUCUUUUUCCUUAGUCACGGUUUUUAUCCCAAUGGGUUUUUCCUGACAAGGUUUUAACGAGGCAGUCAAUUAAGAUAUUUAUGUAAAAGAUAUGUACUCUUUUUUUUUCAUUAAGUUUUUCCCACUGGGUUUUCUUAACAAGGUUUUUAAUGAGACAUAAUCUUCUAUCGUAGGGAAUCAGGGGAAGUGUUAGAAUGCAAUCAUGCAUGCAUGUGAUUCCCUAUGAUGGGAACUUUUAUUCCCCAACCCGUGAACUCCCCCUUCUCUAUUUCUCCCGUGAUUCCCCUUUCCUUCCUUCCCUUCUUCUGAGUUUUUUGCCUAUAAAAGGAAAUCCUACUGAAUGAAAUAAGAAGAAAAACUUCUCUGAAGAAUAAUUCUCUGAAGAAUUUCUCAACCUUCUUUUCUCUUGCUUAUUCUCUCUAAAUUUAUGCAACAAUUAUAAGAGUAUAUUUAUACACUUCGCUAAAGUUUUAUAACAAUGUAUAAGUAGAUUGAAGUGAAAUAUUUUUUUUUCUUUUGAAUGUCUUAAUCAAGCUAUCUAUAUAUUAAUAGAAGUAAAAUAAGUUAUACCAAUAAAUCAAGUACUCAAUCGUGUGAUAUAUCAUUUUUGAGUGUAAUUUAUAGUCACAAUUGUAAGAAUUAUUAGUCUUCCAACACAUCUCUCACUGUUCAAAGUUUGAUCUAAUGGCCAGGUAUUCUUCAGUCCGCAGUAGAGACACCAAAAUUAAUGAUUAGCCCAUCAAUUCGUCCAAUAACCUAUGAUUUAAUAGGUAAAGUUAUUCAUUUAUUUUAACUAGUCUUAAUUGGAUUGAGUUAAAUACAUAAUAAAAUAAAUAAAUGGGUUAAUGGGUAAAAUCGUGGGUUAGAUGGGUAAAAAACAAAUAUUAUCCAUCAAUUGUGUGAAGAGCUUGCCAUAGAACUGACGAGAUGUUCAAGAGAUAGAAAUAAAGCUACGUCUGGGACUGAUCAUUCGGUUAUAACCGAAUCGAAUAAAUUAUUCAAUUAUAAUUAAAAAUCGAAAUUUGUACAAUUUUGUUAUCAGAACAAAUAAUCGAAUUACCCAAUAACUGAAUUACCGAAUUUAUUAUUAGUUGUUCGGGUAAUAACCGAAAUUAAGAAAUAUAUUUCUAAUUUCUUGAACAAAACAAAACUCAUUACAAAUACAGAAAUACAGGUUCAAAUGGAGGAAAAAACUUGAAAUCAAAAGCAAAGAAAUGCAUCAGCAAAUUAUAAUUGAUAAAAACUUAAAACAAACAGAAUCCCCAAUCCCAAAACAGAGAUGAGCUAAAUAUAAUUGAUAAAAACAUAGAACAAACAGAAUCCCCAAUCCAUAUGACAGAUGACAGAUGACAGAUCGGUACAAUUAAGCAACUAAGAUGACGAUUGGUACAAUAAAGCAACUAAGCAAGAGUAAAAAUCGGAAACAAACUCAGAUGACAAAUCGGUAGAUCUAAAGCAAAACAUAAACCAUAAACCAUAAUUCCAUAUUGACAAGCGCUGCGAAGAUAGACUGUAAUAAUUAAAACCCUAUUCGCCAGAGAGAAGGUAUUCGCCAGAGACUGUAGUUUAUGGGUUGGGGGGGCGUCCGGUGAUAUUGACCGGUACUAACGUCCGAUUCCUUUGUUUUGGUUUUUUNNNNNNNNNNNNNNNNNNNNNNNNNNNNNNNNNNNNNNNNNNNNNNNNNNNNNNNNNNNNNNNNNNNNNNNNNNNNNNNNNNNNNNNNNNNNNNNNNNNNUUUUUACGACAAUUAUAAGAAUAAAAAAUAAAAAAUAAUAGAGCAAGUUUUAAUAAAAAAACUAUAAAAGAAAGUAUAUUUUUUAUUGAAAAAACACAGUAAAAAAUAUAUUUUUUUUACAAUUUUUUUGUUAAAACUUGCUCUAUUAUUUUUUAUUUUUUAUUCUUAUAAUUGUGGUUUUUUUUUAAAAAAAAAAACAAACAAACAAAGAGACCGGACGUUAGUACCGGUCAAUAAGCACCGGACGCCCCCCCAAUUGGUAGUUUAUGGGUGUGCGUGAAUUUGUUAAUUACAAAAUUGAAGAAAAGAAGUAAAAACUGAUAUUAGUAGGAGUAGCAUAGUUACAGUAGUAGGUAGGUGUUUAGAGUGAUCAAACUUGGUUCUUGAAGGAUGAUGAUGGUUUGUCUCAGAGAAGGUGGAGGCGGAGACUGAUUUUAGUGAUUUGGCCUUUGGGGACUGGGUUGUCGAGAACUAACACUCUGUUUCUGAGUUUUAAAAUGGACAGAAAAGAAAAGAAAUGGACGAAAAAUUUAAGUUUUCUUUUCAAUUCUUAUGUUUCUGAGUUUUUUAAUAAACAAAAAAGAAAAGAAAUGGAUAAAAAACUUGGCCACUUUUCCUGCCAAAGUUUUCCGUCCAAAGUUGUCAUGAUUUGGAUGGAAAAGAAAUUAGAAUAAGUAAUAUUUUUAUAAUUCUCAUAUUAUCCUCAACUUAAUAUAAUAAAUUUUAAAUUACAACUCAUGUCCUCAAUUUUAAAUUUUCUAUCCUUUUCCAUUAAAAACUCAAAAACAACACAAAGAAAAACUUUAAGUUUUCUAUUCUUUUCUUUUCUGUUCUAAUUUAAGUUUUCUAUUCUUUUAUUUUCUGUUCAAAACUCAGAAACAGAGUGUAAGAGAGUAAGUUUGUGUAGUGUUUUACUUUUAGCUUAUAAGUUUUAAGUUUUAAUUUUUGUACAUCUUCUUCGGUUAUACAUCGAAUUAUCAAAUUUCAAUAUCCAAACCCGAAUCCAAAAACUGAAUAGUAAAAUGGAUAUAACCGAAAUACUUAAACUAACCGAAUAACCGUAAUAUUUCGGUUAAAAAAAUUCGAUUCAAUUCAAUGAUUCGAUUUUACUCGUUUUUUGCUAAGUCCUAGCUACAUCUGUGCAUACGAAGAGGAUUUAAGAGACAUGUUGUGGGUGGGACGGUGAGUUAUUUGUUGCGGGGGAAGCAAAGUUUGGUGUAUGGUGGGAACUACACGUGCUUCACUUAGAUGACAGGUUGGUGAAGUGUUUGGCUCACAAUUUUGAAACUCGGUCGGUCACUCUUUUAAUAUAUUUUGUAUCAAAAUUUUUAGAAUAUUAAAAUUAACCACUUUUAGUAAUAUUGUAAUUCAAAUUUAUUAUAUUUUAUAUCAUAAAAAUGAUUUUUUUUUUAAAAUUUUAUUAAUUACUAAUAAUAUAUAUUUAUGACGUUACCGGUUCAAUAACGCUUCAACUACUAGUUCAACGAGUGACCCAUUCACUAGAUAACUUUUUCGGUUCAAUAACUGGUCCGUAUCUGAAAAAAUUGAUUUGGCUAUUGAGGAUCAUGAUGAUCAUCAUGAGGACGGAAAGAAUCGACGGUGGAGAUUGUAUAGUGAGAGCUUGGAUAGGUUUUGUGAAGGUUUGGAGAUUAUAUGACAGCUGCUAAUGUGUUCUGUACACUUGGAAAUUACUUUAUGUUGUGUGGAAAAAAACUAAAAAAACUGUACUUUUGAAUUUUAUACAGAUUGAUGGAUUCAAUUCAUUUAUGGCUUAAAUAUGAAUUAGUACACUACCCUAAAUUAUAGGUCAUAUUCUACUUCGGUGAGCCACUUUUUAAUUUUAUCAAUUAGAUGAUUAAACUAUUAAUUUUUUCCAAUUGCAAAAAAUUGAACAUGCCACGUUAGAAAUUACUGACGUGACAACUUGUGUGGGGUAGAUCUGGCAAUAUAGUUGGUUAACUGUCGGGUCAACCCAUAUUAACUGGAACCAAAUGGAUUGGUUAACUGUUUUUAUUUAUUUGGGUAAGUUAAAGUUUGGAACCAUAUUUUUAAAAAGAAAUAUAGUUUCAACCCGGUUAACCAUUUUUCAACCCAUAUUUUAUUUCAAAUCCAAAUCAAAAAAAAAUUCACCCAUAAUAUUGUUUGUUUUGUAUUAAUUAUGAUACAAAAACAAACAAAAAAAGAGUUUUUUAAUCAUAGUAGUUUCACAAUUUGCGGGAAAGGAAAUUAGAGAAAGAAAAGAUAUUUAUUAGGGGGUAUGAAGUACAUUAGUAAUAAAAGAGUCAAUGUAGAUGUUAAUGCGAAUACCUAAAAUAAAAAAAGUAGAAAUUAAAAGGAGAGAGAGCAGUAAUGGGUGGAGGGAGUACCCGAAGUGAACAAGAAACCUGAUUUUACUUGAUAUCUGAGCUGAAAAGCAAGGGGAGGAAGCAUUGCGCCGCCAAAUCUGGUAAAAAAAAUUACAGAGAGAAAUAUUUGCAGAGAAGCUAGUUAGUAGAGAGAUAAAAGAAUGGUUUACUGAACUUGUUUCUGGGAAAAUGAAGAAGAUGUGAGAGAAUGUGUUUGUAGAGAGGAAUAGAGGAAGGGACAGGUAAAAGAGUCUCUCUUUCUCCCCCUUAAAUUCUCCUUUCCUUCCUCCUCCAGCAGCAGCUGCUGCUGAGAGAGAUGGAUUAUCUUCUGUAAUUUGAAGUCAUCUGGUAUUGCGUAGGCAGGGGAGCGGAUAAGCUUCAAGAGGAAGGGAGGGGUUGUUCAUAAGGCAAAAUUGCCCUUAUUGGCAGAAUUGUUCAAAAAACCAAACAAUUAAAUCCACCAUCAAUUGUUUGUUUUUUAA